rnacentral:lncRNA from 1 species
UAAUUCUGCAGAGAACAUUUAAUGAUUUGGAAAGAUUUUUCACAAUGCCAAGUGUAAAGGCUAAUUUCAGAGCAACCCAUAUUGUGGUUCUACCCACGUUAAAAAAAAUACAAAGAUCUAGAAAGCUAAUAAACCAAGAAUAACAGUCAUCACUCCUGAGUAAUGGGCUUGUUGAAGAUUUAAAAUCUUUAUUUUUCAAAGUAACAAUAUAUAUGCAUUGCUUUUGUAAGAAAAUCCACAAAAAUACUAUUAUGUUAAAAAAUAAUUUACCUAGUUUUGGCAGAUGCUGCUGGGCAGGAAACUCUACAGCAAUUACUGACCUGUUCUUCCCUUGCUGCUUGUGCUUCCACUCUCUAUAGCUGAAUGCUCACCCUUCCAGCUUCCCUGACUGCUGGGGUGGCCAAGUGAUAGGAGUUCUGCCUAGUGAGAUGUAAGUGGAGGUCUGCUGGGUGGACAUGGAAGUUUCUGGGAAAGUUAAUGGCUCCUGAUAAAAGGAGGGGAUACUUCUGGCCCUCUACCUCUCCUUUCUUCCUUCUGGAAUGUGGAAGUGAUGACUUGAACAGCAGUAGUCCUCUUGUGACAACAAGGCAAUAAGGGUGGUGCAGCAGAAGGGUAAAGUCUAAGCUUUUGAUGACACCUUAAGUCAAUCCAUCAACCCUGGACUCCCUCCAGGCUUCUUGUCAUGGGUGAGAAUUCUGAUGUAACAGUUCUGGCUAGCUCAGGUUUGAAGGCUUUUGGCUGCAAGUAAGACUUAAGGUCUCUCCUCUAGGUCCUAGAUCAUCCCUAUCAUUCCACACUGCCUUCAUAGAGAGAAACAGUGCCUUAAAGGCACUCUUUUCCCAAGCUGAUGCUGCCUUCUUUUUGGCAUUAGUAUCUGAAUUUAUUUGGUGGUUCCUGGAGAGGAGCACUGUCUUUUGUAGCAUAGGAAUGUGUUAAGCAGCCCUUGUGCCCAACAGAGCAGGGCCUUGUAUGAGACAGCCAGUCAGCUGUCUCUCAAAACACUAUGUGCUGGGCAUUGUGCCAUGUGCUGGGGAAGGCAAAAGAGCAAAACGGACUCAUACCUUGUCCUUCUGAAGCUUAUCACUCGGUAGAAAACAAGAAUAUUGAGAAGUCAGUUAAUCCUUUGCAUAGUCGUUGGUGUGCAGUGUUUUAAAGAACAGGGUGCCAUGCAAGUGUGUCCUGGAGGGGCCUGGCCCGGGGCUCAGGGAAGGCAGCCUAGAAGCUCUUUUCUGUCUCUAGGCUCAGCAAGAUGUAUCCCAAAUUCCCAGGCUUGUCUGUGACAGCCUCUGCAUCACAAUGCCAAAUGGAAGGAAUCUUUCCUUUUGUCAGAGCCCUUGCCUGUGGGCUUUAUCAUCCAUAUAUGCAAAAUGAGGGAAGUGGACUCCACAAACUUCCAGCUUCCCAGAGCUCAAAUCCCACGUGAAAGCAGCUGGGAGAGGCCACCACAGGAAUGGUGCAAACACAGGCUGACAAGGCAAAGUGGGGGCUGUUUGCUUCCCAGCCUUGGCAGAGAUGGGUCCCACAUUUGUUCAGAGGCAGAGGCCUCUGCAGGGAACAGAGUAUGCAAAGGCCUUAAGAGUAGGCCUGUGUGAGCAGCAGCAGGAAGGCCAGUGGGGCUGGGGCAGAGUGGGGCACAGAGACGGAUCCCAUGUGGCAGUGAGCAGUGGAGGUCAAAGCCCUAGGAUCCAGCUUGUGUUUCAAAAGGAUUUCAGGUCAGCCCUUGCCCAUUCUGUUUGCUCUCAGAGUAAAAAAUUGAGGUCAAUGUUGGAGAGAUCUGGUAAUCCACGCAGCAAACUGCAUUGAUGGAUGUGGUCUCAGACCUUGCAUGUACCAAGGUAACCUAAGCAAUGAAGCAUUUAUUUUUAUUUUGUAUUUAUUUUGAAGUAUUUUUAAAUGUGUAUGACUUUUAUAAUCAUAAAAAAUUGAAAUUGUAAAAAAAUGGCAAGUGGUUAUCCCUAGGGAUAAGAUUAUCAGGGACUUUCACAUUCUAUGCUGUAUGUCAGCAGUCUUUUUAAAUUUUUGGUCCUUGAACAGUGCUAUUUUCUAUUGUUCUCUGCCUCUAAACAUUAAUGGGUAUUCCUCUAGGUGAUGUACAAGAAGAAACAGGCAAAGACAGAAGAGUAUUAACUCAGUUUCAUGGUCACAAAGUCAAUUACACACACACACACAUAUACACCCUGCUUCUUCCAGUCGAGUCAGGCCCAAGGGAACAACCUUGGAGGGAACAGCUCUUUUUUCUUCCUCCACUUCCAGUGCUCUCUUCCCUCAGUCUCCAGUGCUUCAAGCUUGAAGGCAAGUAGAAAACUUUGAAGGCAAUCACACCUACGUUGCCUGUUGGUGGGUGGUUGGGAGAACUGCCUGGGAAGGAGGGAGGAGGAUGAAGUCCCUUUGGGCAGGGUUAGCAGCACACAUCUUUGGAGUCUGACAACCUACUCACCAGCUGUGAGACCGUGAGCAAGUUUCUUGACCUUUCUGAGCCUGUGCCUCACCUGAAAAAUGGGAAUGAUGACACUGCUUCCAUUCCCAGGGCUGCUCUGUGCUGCAAUGAGACAACACAGGCUGAGUGCCUGGCACACAGUAAGUGCCAGUGGGUUAAUGGGGUCACUGUCUUUGUUUCAGAGCACAAAGACCUCUGGCUCUGGAAACAGAGGACCAGGCUGCAUGGUCCAGGACAGGUUGCUUUGCUUCUGCUUCUCCAACUGUGAGAUAGAGCUGCGGUGGGACAAGGCGGGGGGCAGACAUUUCUGCAGCAGGAUGCAGGUGUCCCUCACAGCUCCUUCCUUCACCUCAGUGGGCUCCACCUUGAUGCCACUCAUCUGAGACUGUGACUGAUGGACUGCUGGCAGGUGUCUAGCCCUGGGCUCUGUGGCACCCAAACCUGCUGUGCCAGGAAGUGAGGAUUCCCGAAGCUGAGGCUGCUCCCAAGUUUCAUCUUCUGUUGGGCUUCAGCCUCAGGUCUCGUUUUUGGCUCCUGUGCCACCCCCUGGAACUAGGGAGCAGUGGUCCAAGUCUCUGGAACUGAACCAGGAUGUCAGGCAGCUGGAGAAUGUUAGGGAUGAGGUUUUACUGCUUAUUUUGCUCUACUUUUCUAUCAAAAUUCUUUUAUGCUAUGCCUCUUAAAAUAGCGAUUUCAAACUCUCUCAUUGGUCUGUGAGGUUUCUUCUGAGUUUUAAGAAGACAAAGGGAAUGGUGAAAUAAAUCUUUUUGCCUCCCCCCACCCUUAAAAAAUCCAUAAAAAAUUAACAUGAAGGUGAAAUUUUUUGACUUCAACUCUGUCCUUGAGACCCGUAAACUUUUCCUGAAAUUUCAGCAGAGUGAUGUGCAGUUUUCCUGGGGAGGGUACCCAAAGCUUUCCUGAUAGUCUCACUGCAGUUGGUGUGAUGGAGUACAUAGGAACACUUCCCUUGUAGCAAUGACACUCAAAUUACUGUAUUUUCUUAAUGAGAGAAGCCACUUGCCUGAAGCCAGUACCUACCAAGAGACAGAUGCUUGGGGUUGAAAAGGUCUUUGGCUAUGGCUUUCAUGAGGAAUACAUAAAAAACCACCUAUGAAGUCUAAGGUAAAUGGUGAUAAUUACCAGCAAAACAAGGAUAUCUACCCCUGCCACUAGCAAAAAAAGAAGUCCACCUCGAGAAAAGAGUACGACAAAUUUUGUCAAGUUGAAAUGAUAUGAUCGCCCAGUGUGUUUGGUCUUUAUGGCAUUAUCUUUUAGGGUCAAGGUUUCUCCAAGUUGACCGCCAAUCAAAUGGCUUUUCAUUGCUCAGACAGAAACAGGUGCUCUAAGUAAGCUGGGCACAGCUGACUUUCAUGAUCCCCACUUGUUCAUUAGGGAGGUAGAAAAUCAAAAGCAAGGGCAAGUGUGGGUCUGGGAGUAUUGCCGAGCUCAAAUCUCUGCUCCCGCAAGUAAUGUCUCUCAUUCCUGAGGUACAGGCUGGCUCCUAAAUCUCUCUGGCUCUAGUUCCUCUCCUUAAAAUGGGGUUGCUGUGGGCUCAGAUUAAAGAAAUGGAAAGCCUUUAAAAGGUAACUGUGCCAUGUACUGUGUUAAGAAUUUAGUAAAUAAAAAUCUAAGACUUUAUAUUGGUAGAAAAUAACUUUUACCUUCCAACUUCCCUGUUGUGAAGGAGAAAAGGAUGUUCUGGGUAUGUGUAUGCAGGUGAAAAUGGGAGAGUCAGGUUAUCACUGCCCAGCAUUCCUAGGGAUUUACUUUUACAAUUCACAAAAGUUUUAAGAGAAUCAUUAUUCAACAUACAGUAGUAAACACCCUAAACCUUCCACAUUCUGCAAACAGUAGGCACAGACGCUUCACUAUUGUGGCCUUCUAAAUUUGAUACUCAAGGGGUUUUCUCCCCCAUCUUUUACUCUAUAUUGGUAGUUCCCAAACUUGAGUGCACUGGCCUCACCGCAGAGCUUCUAACUCAGCAGGGGUGGGUGGGGCUGGAGGAUGUGCAUGUCUAAAGCGUUCCCAGGAGAUGCUGGUGCUGCUGCUGCUCCAGGGAGCACACUUUGAGAACCAUUGCUCCAUUUGAUAUUAAAUACAUUCGGGGAACUCCUUUUCCAAACGCAGCUUUUCCCAGAAGAGCUGACUGGGGCCAGCAGAUGGUAAGCAGCUUAAGACAAGGUGGUGAGUAUGAAAGUGUGUGUCUGGCGAGCUCCCUUACAUCAUCAGGGCUUUUGGUUGUCUACAACGGGCUUCCAGAGAGAGUCUUAUAAUUUGGAAUGUGGCUAGCUGCAAAGGUAGGAUCCCAAGGAAGUUAUAAUACAGUGAUUCUAAACUCAAAGGUUCAAACGAUCACAAAAUCAAGGUUUUAGAAAAGGGGGAAUGGACACUGUUUUUUUCUGGCCAGGUGGCAUUAAGUCAGCCUGAGUGGAAUGUCUGGAAUGUUCAGGAGGGGAGAGGCUGUUCUCAAUGAGGUGAAUGCACUUUGGAAAAGAAGCCGCUAUGGGGAUGGAGGUCUGUGGCCCAGCAGGGGGGCUCUGGCUGGAUCUAAGCAUGCAGGGGAAGCAGCCCAAGGUUGUGCUCCCCUAGGCUAGCCUUGAGGAAAGAGUUCUGGGCAGGGGUGGGGUGAGGUGGGUCACUGUACAAACUUCAAAUGAAUUCAGCAGCUCAAUACCAAAAUUAAGUAGAGCAUCCUCUGGAUCUUAAAUGGUUCUCUCAUUCUCUCUCUGGACUUGACCCCAUUUUAUAUUUUAUUAGGUUUUUAAUCAGGUUCCAUUAUGAAGUGCUUUAAACAAGGUUAGAAUCUACAAAUGCACAAAGGGAGAGAACACUGCCUGGUCUACCUGGUUUAAGAAACCAGAGUGGAAGCCUCUGAGAAUGGAGAAGGCUUUGCUCAGUCCCUGGGAGCGGCCCUGGACUUCCAUCAUCAGCUUUGUCCCCUUCAUGCUGGCUCCUCAGCAGCAGGGAGCAGUGGCUCAGCACAUGGACUCUGAGGCCAGAGUGCUUGGGUUUAAACAGCAGCGACACCAAUCACCAACAAUAUGGAUGGUGUGGUCUUGGUACUUACCUGAUAGGGUGGUUACAUGACCUGCCUGCUUAUGAGGAGGAAAUGGAGGUACCGAGUACAUGGCUAAAUGUAAAUGGAGGGCUCAGGGCAGUGCCUGGCACAGUUUCUAUUCUGUAAUUGCCUGCUGCUAUUAAUGAUGAUACCACUGAAAGGAAACAAAGACCCAGGGCUUCAACAAAUAGCAAGAGUGUCUGACCUUGAAGGACGCUGGGCUUGGGCUGUGCUCAUCCAUUCAUUGAACAGAUUUAUUCAGUGUCUACUCAGUGCCAGACACUGAACUAGGCUGGAGGGUACAGCAGUGAAUGAAGCUGAAUAUUCCUGCCCUCAAGGAGCUUAUGACCAGUGGGAAAGACACAGAUUCAGCAAAGAUUCCCACUAAUGAACGAGUAAUGACAAAAUGAGAUGAAUGCUCUGAAGGGAUGGAAUUCAGCUUGCUGAGUGCACGGGAGAGCUGUUACCUGACCUGGCCUUCUGGGUAGUGGGAGUUGGCUCUGUCUGAAACUUGGAGGACGGUCAGGCAUCAAUGAUGGGAGUCUGGAGGCAGCUGGGAGCCUUCUAGAUAGGGUGGAGCUGAACGAAGGCCCUGGGGCAGGGGCCAGAGGGAUCUUAUAAAAAGGGAGGAGGGUAGGGAAGGGAGUGGAUGUCAUUCAUGGGUCCCACUGAAGUUAGCGUGAGGACAACCCUUUAAGCAGUUAUAAGGCCAGGAAUGGGAGGCAUUUGCGUGAUUUAGGAGUGCAUUUUGAAAAGAUCAUUCUGGUUAUAACAUGUGGAAGAGAUAAGGCUGAAAUGGAAGCUGGAGAGGUUGUGGGGAGACCCAAAAAGGGUGGAAGUGGUUUUGAAGCAUCCCCUGGAGUGCCUGUAACAUAGUUCCUGCCCAGCUUGCUGUCCCCACUGGAGAUUUUUUUUUUUAAAACAGGGUCUUGCUGUUACCCAAGGUGGAGUAUAGUGGCACAAUCUCUGCUCACUGCAGCCUCAAACUCCUGGGCUCAAAACGUCCUCCCACCUCAGCUGCCUGAGGAGAUGAUGAGACUACAGGUGUGUGCCACCACACCCCUGUCUAAUUUUUAAAAACAUUCUUUAUAGAGAUUAGGUCUGGCUAUGUUCCCCGAGUUGGCCACUGGAGAUUCUGAUGGAGCAGGUGCAUGGUGGUCCCUGGGAUCCUGCUUUUCCAACAUGCUGAAGCUGCCACCCAUGGACCACACCAUGAGUGGCUCUAGCUUGGACUCCGUUGGUCGUAGGGGAGUUGGUAACUGGAUGAAUUCUUAGGAGACAGCAAGAAGCCCUUUCUGAAAACUGGGACUAUUUUGCUUUGAAGAUAUUUGUCCCUAAACAUAAUUUAGUACAAAUUUCAGAGAUGCCCUUAACGAUAUAGGGAUGGAGUGAGGGAUAGAACUUUACAGAAGUAGACUCACCCUCCAUAAUUCUAAGGUGAUACAGAUGCAGGUGGCUCUGGUUAACUCAGGCUCUAUGUAACCUGGGUGCUAUGCAAGGUUUGCAUGGUGCUUGUUUUUAUCCGUCUCUCUGGUUUUCAGAGCAGCAAGAACCCUAUACAAACAGACUAUAGACUGGGCCUGAGUUAAUCAGAGUGGCUCUGGAUCUUUGUCCUGUAGAAAACUAGAGAGAGGAAUAUCCUCCUUUUUAUUAGCGUUAUGGAAAGGACACCAGCCAACCCAGCCACUCUAUCUUGAAAACUCUUGCUUGGGCUCUGAAAAAUGGUGAUGUCACAUAUAAGAUUUAAGUUAGGCACAAAAUACUACUCCAACUCUAGAGACCUCCAUUAGUUUUCCAGCUCUGCUGGGUCCAUGGCUGUAAGGACCUGGGGAAAGGAAGCCCAUCUGUCAGCACAGGUGAUGGCAAGUAUUACCUUUGAUGGAGUGUCUGGCAGAUCAGUGCCCUAGGAACAAUCCCAUGCUUGGUUCUCGUCCAGCCCUCAGGUCACUGGGACAUGCACUGAUGGAGAGCUGUGGAACUCUCCCUGGCCAAGAAAGGUGUUUGCUUUCCAGGGACCCUGGGACCAUCUAGGAAGUGGAUGCAUUACCUGCAUGUGUGGCUACAAAGAGCCUUCCUCUCUCCAGGAGGCCACCGUCCUAUUACUAGGUCCUCCCUUCCCUCUACUUUGCCCUAUUCAAAGCUACCAUCACCAAGUAUCAAAACAAAGGUCCCAACUCCGCAACCAUUGUGUGUUUUGGCACCUAGGAGGAAAUGUUCAGUUGAGUGGCGCUUAACCCUCCUGAUGGCCCAUAACUUCAUUUUCACAGUGGGAAACCUGGUAGCACCAUUUUCUCUGUAGGAAGCUAAUGUUACCAGGAGUGUCUUUUUCUUUAAAAGUGGAGCAUUUGUGUUGGGGGAUAAACAGCAGCCUCAGGAGGCCAGUGUCUGCAGGGGAGCUGCAGCAGCCAGCCCAGAACUGGAAAGCCGCGUGCCUGGGUUCUGGAGCCGAGGGUCCUCUGUGACGGGUGUAGCUGCCUCGCCAGAGGGCGCCCUUGCGGGUUCUGGAGCUGGAAUGCUG